rnacentral:rRNA from 1 species
GACGAACGCUGGCGGCGUGCUUAACACGUGCAAGUCGAACGGAAAGGCCCUGCUUUUGUGGGGUGCUCGAGUGGCGAACGGGUGAGUAACACGUGAGUAACCUGCCCUUGACUUUUGGAUAACUUCAGGAAACUGGGGCUAAUACCGGAUAGGAGCUCCUGCUGCAUGGUGGGGGUUGGAAAGUUUCGGCGGUUGGGGAUGGACUCGCGGCUUAUCAGCUUGUUGGUGGGGUAGUGGCUUACCAAGGCUUUGACGGGUAGCCGGCCUGAGAGGGUGACCGGCCACAUUGGGACUGAGAUACGGCCCAGACUCCUACGGGAGGCAGCAGUGGGGAAUAUUGCACAAUGGGCGGAAGCCUGAUGCAGCAACGCCGCGUGCGGGAUGACGGCCUUCGGGUUGUAAACCGCUUUCGCCUGUGACGAAGCGUGAGUGACGGUAAUGGGUAAAGAAGCACCGGCUAACUACGUG